UUGCGGUUAAAAAGCUCGUAGUUGGAUUUCUGUUGAGAACAGGCGGUCCACCUUUUGGGUGAGUAUCUGCAUUGGUCUCGGCAUCUUCUCGGAAUACGGUUCUGCGCUUGAUUGCGUGGAUCGGAGUUCGGGACUUUUACUUUGAGGAAAUUAGAGUGUUCACGGCAGGCAAUCGCCCUGAAUAUAUUAGCAUGGAAUAAUAAUAUAGGAUUUCAGGCCUAUUUUGUUGGUUUCUAGGCUUGAAAUAAUGAUUAAUAGGGACAAUUGGGGGCAUUCGUAUUAACGCGUCAGAGGUGAAAUUCUUGGAUUGCGUUACGACGAACUACUGCGAAAGCAUUUGCCAAGGAUGUUUUCAUUGAUCAAGAACGAAAGUAAGGGGAUCGAAGAUGAUUAGAUACCGUCGUAGUCUUUACCAUAAACUAUGCCAACUAGAGAUGGGACGUCGUUCUUUAUUGACUCGUUCCGCACCUUAUGAGAAAUCAAAGUCUUUGGGUUCCGGGGGGAGUAUGGUCGCAAGGCUGAAACUUAAAGGAAUUGACGGAAGGGCACCACCAGGAGUGGAGCCUGCGGCUUAAUUUGACUCAACACGGGAAAACUCACCAGGUCCAGACAUAGUAAGGAUUGACAGAUUGAUAGCUCU
rnacentral:rRNA from 1 species